rnacentral:rRNA from 1 species
GAUGAACGCUGGCGGCGUGCCUAAUACAUGCAAGUCGAGCGAACGGACGAGAAGCUUGCUUCUCUGAUGUUAGCGGCGGACGGGUGAGUAACACGUGGAUAACCUACCUAUAAGACUGGGAUAACUUUGGGAAACCGGAGCUAAUACCGGAUAAUAUUUUGAACCGCAUGGUUCAAAAGUGAAAGACGGUCUUGCUGUCACUUAUAGAUGGAUCCGCGCUGCAUUAGCUAGUUGGUAAGGUAACGGCUUACCAAGGCAACGAUGCAUAGCCGACCUGAGAGGGUGAUCGGCCACACUGGAACUGAGACACGGUCCAGACUCCUACGGGAGGCAGCAGUAGGGAAUCUUCCGCAAUGGGCGAAAGCCUGACGGAGCAACGCCGCGUGAGUGAUGAAGGUCUUCGGAUCGUAAAACUCUGUUACUAGGGAAGAACAUAUGUGUAAGUAACUGUGCACAUCUUGACGGUACCUAAUCAGAAAGCCACGGCUAACUACGUG